rnacentral:rRNA from 1 species
UACGUAGGUGACAAGCGUUAUCCGGAAUUACUGGGCGUAAAGCGUGCGCAGGCGGUUUUGUAAGUCUGACGUGAAAUCCCCGGGCUCAACCUGGGAAUUGCGUUGGAGACUGCAAGGCUAGAAUCUGGCAGAGGGGGGUAGAAUUCCACGUGUAGCAGUGAAAUGCGUAGAGAUGUGGAGGAACACCGAUGGCGAAGGCAGCCCCCUGGGUCAAGAUUGACGCUCAUGCA